AAAAGCACAGUGAAUUGGUAAGUAUAUGCGUCAGUUUUUUUUGACAGAGAGCUUCGGCAGCUGAAAAGAAGCAAAAAAACACGGAUAGAAAAUGGCCAAGGAGUGAUUCGUCCCGAGCAGAUACCUGCAAGGCGGCGACGGCAGCGACCGUUACCUCGCUAGAGUAUGAAUGUACUUGAAGAGGAAUCUUGCGUGAGCAAGGUUUGAACAGAGGUGGUAACACGCAAAAAGCGUCCUCAAG
rfam:Enterococcus sp. 8G7_MSG3316 scaffold00001, whole genome shotgun sequence.